GGGCGCAAGCCUGAGCAUCCUGCCGUGUAUGAAGAAGGCCUUCGGGUUGUAAGUACUUUCAGCAGUGAGGAAGGGGUGUCGUUAAUAGCGGCAUCAUUUGACGUUAGCUGCAGAAGAAGCACCGGCUAACUCCGUGCCAGCAGCCGCGGUAAUACGGAGGGUGCCGAGCGUUAAUCGGAAUUACUGGGCGUAAAGCGCAUGCAGGUGGUUUGUUAAGUCAGAUGUGAAAGCCCGGGGCUCAACCUCGGAAUUGCAUUUGAAACUGGCAGACUAGAGUACUGUAGAGGGGGGUAGAAUUUCAGGUGUAGCGGUGAAAUGCGUAGAGAUCUGAAGGAAUACCGGUGGCGAAGGCGGCCCCCUGGACAGAUACUGACACUCAGAUGCGAAAAGCGUGGGGAGCAAACAGGAUUAGAUACCCUGGUAGUCCACGCCGUAAACGAUGUCUACUUGGAGGUUGUGGCCUUGAGCCGUGGCUUUCGGAGCUAACGCGUUAAGUAGACCGCCUGGGGAGUACGGUCGCAAGAUUAAAACUCAAAUGAAUUGACGGGGGCCCGCACAAGCGGUGGAGCAUGUGGUUUAAUUCGAUGCAACGCGAAGAACCUUACCUACUCUUGACAUCCUCAGAAAGACUGGAGACAUCUUGUGCC
rnacentral:rRNA from 1 species